rnacentral:lncRNA from 1 species
GCGGGCGCUUCAGCACCCUGGACAGCGCCGGGCGGCCGGGCUGGACAGCGGCGGGGAAGGCGGGGGCCCCGCGCGCCCCCAGUCACAGUCGUGUCGGGGAGGUGCGGGCACCAGCCCGGCCGCCCAGGUAAACAUAUGGGGAAUUACUGCCAAAUAGGUGGGCUGUUCUGAAGAGAUGAAGCAGCAGACACGCUGAGUCCAAAGGAAUCCUCCAGGAUCCCCGCAGGACGCCUUCAUGGUGUCUUUCUCCCCUGAGAUGCGAUGGAAAGAGCACAAUGCAAAACAGCAGGUUUGCUUCCUCUGUAAGCAGAGAGGAGAAAAAGGGGCAGCUCCUCCAAAGAGACUGGCUCAAUCUUUUGACAGGAUUGCUGCAAUCUGACUACAAAGCUCCAACAAGCCUCCGCCUCAGGAAAAUUCAUCUCUGCCCUCCCAACACACCCUGCAGCACCGAGAGGCCCUCCCUGAGGUUAAGGCCGUGUUAUGCUGGGCACCGCAGAGACCUGUAAUUGGUUGUCCACUGGAGACCUGUGAAUAAAUGCAGCAACCUGAUUGACUGCCA